AUAGAUUUCCAUUGAUUGCUGUGU
rnacentral:piRNA from 1 species